rnacentral:tRNA from 1 species
GUUCGCUCAGUGGUAGAGCACCAGACUGAGGAUCUGGCUGUCGCGGGUUCGACUCCCGCACCAACA